CCUUUUACCUAUUUACAUACUUAGUUACUCAAUUAUUUUUUUAUUUCAUUUUUUUUUUUUUUUUUUUUUUUUUUUAUAUUGUCUUAUAAAAAGCUAAUAAGCAAAAGAAAAAUAAUUUUAAUUUGUCCUCAUCGAACGAUGAGAAUAAUUCAAAUAAUAAAAAAAGUAACCUCUCAUCAAAAAAACAAAUGAAAAAGAGCUCCGAGUUUAUUGGUAUUAACGCUUUAAAUUUAGAACCAGCUUUACCCAAAUUAGAUGAACAAACGAGAACAGAAUGGGUUAUGUUCAAAAAUAAAAAUAAAAAUAAAACAAACAAAAAAGAUAAGUCAACAGAUAAGCAAGAAUUUAUCACAGCUGCUAAAGCUUUCAAUGAAAAACUGGCAACUAAAAUUAGCUCUAAUCCAAAAGAUACUAAUAACACCAGAUCAAGUAACUACUCGGGGAUGAUGAGCCGAUCAAAUAAAGAUAAUCAAAAGAAAAAGGGAAAAUACAAUAACACCCAUGAAACAGAUAUAAAUAAGAGCAACACUAAUGGUAACGUGAUAAAUCAUAACAUGAAUAUGGGCAUAAAUAUGAAUAAUAAUAUGAAUAAUAAUAUGAAUAUGAAUAGAGAUGCUAAUAUAGAUGCAAAUUAUAACGCAAAUUACAUGUUAAAUAAUCCUAAUAUGCGGCCAUAUUACUCUUAUUAUGUAAAUUUUAACAAUAUAAAUAAUAUCAAAAAUAAUAUUCCUGGUCAUAACAUUGGUUAAAAAGAAAAAAAAAAAAAAACACAUAAUGAAUACAUACAUACAUACACACAAACAAUAAUUAACCGCAUAAAAAGCAUGUAAAUAUAUAUAUAUAUAUAUAUAUGUUAAUUCCCGAAUAAUAUGUUUCGUUUCAUAUGUUUUGAUUAUUUCAGUUGGUUAUAUUAAGUAUAUAUAUAGUAUGUACAUAUAUGUUUAUUCGUCUAUUUGUAUAACUGUGUGCAGAUUAUUGCCAGAACAUAAACAUGAUGCCAGACCCACAAAAUCAAAUAUACCC
rnacentral:lncRNA from 1 species